rnacentral:rRNA from 1 species
UACAGAGGGUGCAAGCGUUGUUCGGAAUUACUGGGCGUAAAGCGCGUGUAGGCUGCGAUGUAAGUCAGGUGUGAAAGCCCUCAGCUUAACUGAGGAAGUGCACUUGAUACUGCGUCGCUUGAGUGUCGGAGGGGGUGGCGGAAUUCCCGGUGUAGAGGUGAAAUUCGUAGAUAUCGGGAGGAACACCUGUGGCGAAGGCGGCCACCUGGACGACAACUGACGCUGAGACGCGAAAGCGUGGGUAGCAAACAGG